rnacentral:rRNA from 1 species
AACGAACGCUGGCGGCAUGCCUAACACAUGCAAGUCGAACGAGACCUUCGGGUCUAGUGGCGCACGGGUGCGUAACGCGUGGGAACCUGCCCUUAGGUUCGGAAUAACUCCCCGAAAGGGGUGCUAAUACCGGAUAAUGUCUUCGGACCAAAGAUUUAUCGCCUUUGGAUGGGCCCGCGUUGGAUUAGCUUGUUGGUAGGGUAAAAGCCUACCAAGGCGACGAUCCAUAACUGGUCUGAGAGGAUGAUCAGCCACACUGGGACUGAGACACGGCCCAGACUCCUACGGGAGGCAGCAGUGGGUAAUAUUGGACUAUGGGCGAUAGCCUGAUCCACCUAGGCCGCGUGAGUGAUGAAGGCCUUAGGGUUGUAAAGCUCUUUUACCCGGGAUGAUUAUGACAGUACCGGGAGAAUAAGCUCCGGCUAACUCCGUG